AACGAACGCUGGCGGCAUGCCUAACACAUGCAAGUCGAACGAGACCUUCGGGUCUAGUGGCGCACGGGUGCGUAACGCGUGGGAAUCUGCCCUUGGGUUCGGAAUAACUUCGGGAAACUGAAGCUAAUACCGGAUGAUGACGUAAGUCCAAAGAUUUAUCGCCCAAGGAUGAGCCCGCGUAGGAUUAGCUAGUUGGUGAGGUAAAGGCUCACCAAGGCGACGAUCCUUAGCUGGUCUGAGAGGAUGAUCAGCCACACUGGGACUGAGACACGGCCCAGACUCCUACGGGAGGCAGCAGUGGGGAAUAUUGGACAAUGGGCGAAAGCCUGAUCCAGCAAUGCCGCGUGAGUGAUGAAGGCCUUAGGGUUGUAAAGCUCUUUUACCCGGGAUGAUAAUGACAGUACCGGGAGAAUAAGCUCCGGCUAACUCCGUGCCAGCAGCCGCGGUAAUGUGACUACUG
rnacentral:rRNA from 1 species